GAGAAAUCUCCAUACAACCAGUAUGUUUUCUCCUAGGAACAAACUUCAGAGCCUCUUCCCAACUACCAGUGUUUUUCAGACAUAACAAAAUACGCAUCAUCUGAUCUAAGAAGCCGGAAAUCCCGCCCCCUCUUCCCGGCGCUUCCGGAUGACGUCCCGAUACAGGGGGAAAGCCUUCUGGUCUGAAAAACAGCGCGGUCCGGAAGAAAGCUGGUAGCUGGCCUUGAGGCCAUGCCCACGGCCUCUUAACAGGGUGUGCUUGUAGCUGGUUUUAGUCUAUCACACAACUAUUUAAAAAAUUUAUUUUCCUCCUCUCUUAACUUAUUCUCUGCUUGCUCCCGUAUUUAUAAGCCUUUAACAUGGUGUUAAAAUAAAAUGAUGUUUUCACAA